rnacentral:rRNA from 1 species
GACGAACGCUGGCGGCGUGCUUAACACAUGCAAGUCGAACGGAAAGGCCCUGCUUGCAGGGUACUCGAGUGGCGAACGGGUGAGUAACACGUGGGUGAUCUGCCCUGCACUUCGGGAUAAGCCUGGGAAACUGGGUCUAAUACCGGAUAGGAGCCAUUUUUAGUGUGAUGGUUGGAAAGUUUUUUCGGUGUAGGAUGAGCUCGCGGCCUAUCAGCUUGUUGGUGGGGUAAUGGCCUACCAAGGCGGCGACGGGUAGCCGGCCUGAGAGGGUGGACGGCCACAUUGGGACUGAGAUACGGCCCAGACUCCUACGGGAGGCAGCAGUGGGGAAUAUUGCACAAUGGGCGCAAGCCUGAUGCAGCGACGCCGCGUGGGGGAUGACGGCCUUCGGGUUGUAAACUCCUUUCGCUAGGGACGAAGCUUUUGUGACGGUACCUAGAUAAGAAGCACCGGCUAACUAC